CGCGGCCUAUCAGCUUGUUGGUGAGGUAACGGCUCACCAAGGCAUCGACGGGUGGCUGGUCUGAGAGGACGAUCAGCCACACUGGGACUGAGACACGGCCCAGACUCCUACGGGAGGCAGCAGUAGGGAAUCUUGCGCAAUGGGCGAAAGCCUGACGCAGCAACGCCGCGUGGGGGAUGAAUGCCUUCGGGUUGUAAACCCCUUUCAGCAGGGACGAAAAUGACGGUACCUGCAGAAGAAGCUCCGGCCAACUACGUGCCAGCAGCCGCGGUAAUACGUAGGGAGCGAGCGUUGUCCGGAAUUAUUGGGCGUAAAGAGCUCGUAGGCGGUUCAGUAAGUCGGGUGUGAAAACUCAAGGCUCAACCUUGAGACGCCACUCGAUACUGCUGUGACUUGAGUCCGGUAGAGGAGUGUGGAAUUCCUGGUGUAGCGGUGAAAUGCGCAGAUAUCAGGAGGAACACCAGCGGCGAAGGCGGCACUCUGGGCCGGUACUGACGCUGAGGAGCGAAAGCAUGGGGAGCAAACAGGAUUAGAUACCCUGGUAGUCCAUGCCGUAAACGUUGGGCACUAGGUAUGGGAUCAUAUCAACGGAUUCCGUGCCGUAGCUAACGCAUUAAGUGCCCCGCCUGGGGAGUACGG
rnacentral:rRNA from 1 species